AAGCAGAAGCCCGACAGCAGCCCUUAACCGGCGCCAACCUCCAGGGGAGCUGUGUGCUCGUCGGCCAGGAAACAUCCCCAACGGAAAUUCCUGCCACGAACAGCAACAUUUUAUUCUUCUAGAGGAACGGGGUAAAAGAAUUAAACUCAUUGUUCAAGAGAUUUGAACUUAAGAAUUAUUAUUUACAAGUGAAAAAUAAUAUCACUAGAAUAUAAUAUUAAAUGGCAAGAUUCAUAUUUAGAUUGCAUGAAGUUAUUAUUUGUUGAUGUGCACGAAAAUCAGAUCAUCAUACGGUGUAGUGAAGUUGACCUCCGCAGGGGAACUUCAGGUAGAAUGACUAGGUGAUUUGCAAGGAAAAGAUAGCAUUGAAGGGCUCCGUUGUAGUACCAGCCGAAAAACCUUCAUUGCUUAGCAAAGUAUGUUUAGGGUGACACAUGGGCGUGUUUAGUAGUGGUGAUUAGUAAUUAACGAUUACUUUUGAAGGGGACUAAAAGUUACCCCUUUAUAGAGGUGAAGUUGAAGGAACUUUGUGGAGUUGGUCAAUGUGGGAUUGACUACGCUUACUAUGGCAUUGUCACUUAUCCUGUCGUGAUUGGUCUCUAAGUCAAAGGGAAUCUCUCAUCGAAUAAAUGAUAGCCAAUAAGUGGUUGACGCUUGUUUGAAGUUGGUUCGUGUGCUUCGGCAAGAGUGCCUCAAUGGAGAUGCUUCAAUAAAUUUAUGGUGCCUUAAUUACAAGUGACCGAUACUCGAUGAUUUUAAGGUCAAUCAUAUAUGAUACAAACAUUAUUCAUAUAUCAUAAAGUUUCAGCUCAAAUAUCGUAAGCCUAACGUUCAAAUUUUUUUAUACUUAUCUUAAACUAAAAAAUUCAAAACAAGGUUUACAAGAAUACAAAACACAAUUGUCAUUCACUACUUAUAAACUUUCGUACUUCCCACGAACAAGUUCUAAAUUUCAAUUCUUUGAA
rnacentral:lncRNA from 1 species